rnacentral:rRNA from 1 species
GACGAACCGUGCGAACGUUAUUCGGAAUCACUGGGCUUAAAGCGCGUGUAGGCGGAUGGGUGCGUCGGAACCUGAAAGCCCCCGGCUCAACCGGGGAAGUGGGGCCGAAACGACCCGUCUGGAGGGACGUAGGGGAUCUGGAAGCUUCCGGUGGAGCGGUGAAAUGCGUUGAGAUCGGAAGGAACGCCCGUGGCGAAAGCGAGAUCCUGGACGUCUUCUGACGCUGAGACGCGAAAGCUAGGGAGCAAACGGG